CUUUUUUAUAGUGUAAAAAACACAUUACAUUUUCAAUGUAAAACUGAAGAUUUCCCUUCUAAAAAU
rnacentral:tRNA from 1 species